CCUACGGGAGGCAGCAGUGAGGAAUAUUGGUCAAUGGACGAGAGUCUGAACCAGCCAAGUAGCGUGAAGGAUGACUGCCCUAUGGGUUGUAAACUUCUUUUAUAUGGGAAUAAAGUGUUCCACGUAUGCGAUUUUGUAUGUACCAUAUGAAUAAGGAUCGGCUAACUCCGUGCCAGCAGCCGCGGUAAUACGGAGGAUCCGAGCGUUAUCCGGAUUUAUUGGGUUUAAAGGGAGCGUAGGUGGACGCUUAAGUCAGUUGUGAAAGUUUGCGGCUCAACCGGAAAAUUGCAGUUGAUACUGGGUGUGUGGAGUGCAACAGAGGGAGGCGGAAGACGUGGUGGAGCGGUGAAAGGAAGAGA
rnacentral:rRNA from 1 species